UCGACCGCGUAUGAAAGUACGAAUUCACCUUCGGGUGACAGGGAGACAGGUGGUGCAUGGUUGUCGUCAGCUCGUGUCGUGAGAUGUUGGGUUAAGUCCCGCAACGAGCGCAACCCCUACGUUUAGUUGCUAACGCGUGAAGGCGAGCACUCUAGACGAACUGCCGUUGACAAAACGGAGGAAGGUGGGGAUGACGUCAAAUCAUCAUGCCCCUUAUGUUCUGGGCUACACACGUGCUACAAUGGCCGGUACAGACGGACGCAAAGCCGCGAGGUGGAGCAAAUCCUAAAAAGCCGGUCUCAGUUCGGAUUGCAGGCUGCAAUUCGCCUGCAUGAAGUUGGAGUUGCUAGUAAACGCAGGUCAGCCAUACUGCGUUGAAUACGUUCCCGGGGCUU
rnacentral:rRNA from 1 species